UUGGAGGGCAAGUCUGGUGCCAGCAGCCGCGGUAAUUCCAGCUCCAAUAGCGUAUAUUAAAGUUGUUGCAGUUAAAAAGCUCGUAGUUGAAUUUCGGGAUCAGAGUGUCGGUCGUGCCUCGGUACGCACUGGUAUUAUUGGUUCCUACCUUUUGAAGAACCGCGAUGUCAUUAAUUUGGUGUCGUGGGGAAUCAGGACUGUUACUUUGAAAAAAUUAGAGUGUUUAAAGCAGGCUUACGCUUGAAUACAUUAGCAUGGAAUAAUGAAAUAGGACGUUUGAUUCUAUUUUGUUGGUUUCUAGGAUUGACGUAAUGAUUAAUAGGGAUAGUUGGGGGCAUUAGUAUUCAAUUGUCAGAGGUGAAAUUCUUGGAUUUAUUGAAGACUAACUACUGCGAAAGCAUUUGCCAAGGAUGUUUUCAUUAAUCAAGGACGAAAGUUAGGGGAUCGAAGACGAUCAGAUACCGUCGUAGUCUUAACCAUAAACUAUGCCGACUAGGGAUCGGAUGAUGUUAAUUUUUUAAUGACUCAUUCGGCGCCUUACGGGAAAC
rnacentral:rRNA from 1 species